AGACAUGCGCAGUGCUGCCCCUUUCUAAGGGCAGGGACGAAGGACUGCGGACCUGACAGUUCUUGGGCUUGAGUCCAGCGGCAAGCUCCCUCCUGAGUGUCUGAAACCGUCAGUUCACUGCCUCAUGUGAAAGUACCCAGUUCUUGGUAACCUGACACUUCCCUUUUAAAAGCCACCUUUUCUCUAUCUCUGGCCUGCCACGAUUCUUCCUGUGCUCCAUAGGAGGACCCAUUGGAUCCCCGGGCUGGCUGCAGGGCCCACACCUGGGUUAGACCUCUCACAGGGACGCUGCUGCCACUGUAAUAAAGCGUGCCUACACGCUUCUGAAACUGGUGAAGGCACAACCUCAGUUCUGUGAAAGGCGGACACAGCAGGACAGAAUCUCCGUGGACAUCUGUCUGGAGGAGGAAUUUUACUGCGACAUUUUAAAGAAACAAAUUUAAUCGAUUUCCAAGAAUCUCUGCAGGGACAUUUUUUUGCUCAGUGAGGCCUACUGUUAAAAACCAAAUAUCAGGGAUGGAGCCAAGAAGGCCAAAUAGGAAGAGCUCCAGUCUACAGCUCCCAGCGUGAGUGACACAGAAGAUGGAUGAUUUCUGCAUUUCCAACUGAG
rnacentral:lncRNA from 1 species